rnacentral:rRNA from 1 species
AUACGUAGGGUGCGAGCGUUGUCCGGAAUUACUGGGCGUAAAGAGCUCGUAGGUGGUUUGUCGCGUGGUCUGUGAAAUUCCGGGGCUUAACUCCGGGCGUGCAGGCGAUACGGGCAUAACUUGAGUACUGUAGGGGAGACUGGAAUUCCUGGUGUAGCGGUGAAAUGGGCAGAAAACAGGAGGAACACCGGUGGGGAAGGCGGUUCUCUGGGCAGUAACUGAAGCGGAGGAGCGAAAGCAUGGGUGGCGAACAGGAUUAGAUACCCUGGUGGUCCAUGCCGUAAACGGUGGGCGCUAGGUGUAGGGGUCUUCCACGAUUUCGGUGCCGUAGCUAACGCAUUAAGCGCCCCGCCUGGGGAGUGCGGCCGCAAGGCUAAAACUCAAAGGAAUUGACGGGG